rnacentral:rRNA from 1 species
AAAACGACUCUCGGCAAUGGAUAUCUCGGCUCUCGCAUCGAAGAAGAGCGCAGCGAAAUGCGAUACGUGGUGCGAAUUGCAGAAUCCCGCGAACCAUCGAGUCUUUGAACGCAAGUUGCGCCCGAGGCCAACCGGCCAAGGGCACGUCUGCCUGGGCGUCAAGC